rnacentral:rRNA from 1 species
GAUGAACGCUGGCGGCGUGCCUAAUACAUGCAAGUCGAGCGAACGGACGAGAAGCUUGCUCCUCUGAUGUUAGCGGCGGACGGGUGAGUAACACGUGGAUAACCUACCUAUAAGACUGGGAUAACUUCGGGAAACCGGAGCUAAUACCGGAUAAUAUUUUGAACCGCAUGGUUCAAAAGUGAAAGACGGUCUUGCUGUCACUUAUAGAUGGAUCCGCGCUGCAUUAGCUAGUUGGUAAGGUAACGGCUUACCAAGGCAACGAUGCGUAGCCGACCUGAGAGGGUGAUCGGCCACACUGGAACUGAGACACGGUCCAGACUCCUACGGGAGGCAGCAGUAGGGAAUCUUCCGCAAUGGGCGAAAGCCUGACGGAGCAACGCCGCGUGAGUGAUGAAGGUCUUCGGAUCGUAAAACUCUGUUAUUAGGGAAGAACAAAUGUGUAAGUAACUGUGCACAUCUUGACGGUACCUAAUCAGAAAGCCACGGCUAACUACGUG